UACGUAGGGCGCAAGCGUUGUCCGGAAUUAUUGGGCGUAAAGAGCUCGUAGGCGGUUUGUCGCGUCUGCUGUGAAAUCCCGAGGCUCAACCUCGGGCUUGCAGUGGGUACGGGCAGACUAGAGUGCGGUAGGGGAGACUGGAAUUCCUGGUGUAGCGGUGGAAUGCGCAGAUAUCAGGAGGAACACCGAUGGCGAAGGCAGGUCUCUGGGCCGACACUGACGGCUGAGGCGCGGAAAGCCAGGGGAGCGAACGGG
rnacentral:rRNA from 1 species